rnacentral:rRNA from 1 species
GAUGAACGCUAGCUGCAGGCUUAACACAUGCAAGUCGAGGGGUAGCACGGAGGCAGUUUACUGUCUUGGGUGACGACCGGCGCACGGGUGAGUAACGCGUAUCCGACCUACCCAUAACUCGGGCACAGCCGCUCGAAAGAGUGAUUGAUUCCCGAUAUGUCCUUGGAGUAGAUUCAAUGAUGAAAGAUUUAUCGGUUAUGGAUGGGGAUGCGUAAGAUUAGGUAGUAGGCGGGGUAACGGCCCACCUAGCCGACGAUCUUUAGGGGUUCUGAGAGGAAGGUCCCCCACACUGGUACUGAGACACGGACCAGACUCCUACGGGAGGCGGCAGUGAGGAAUAUUGGUCAAUGGGCGGAAGCCUGAACCAGCCAAGUAGCGUGAAGGAUUACAGCCCUACGGGUUUUAAACUUCUUUUAUAUAAGAGUAAUGUGCACUACGUGUAGUGUAUUGCAAGUAUUAUAUGAAUAAGCAUCGGCUAACUCCGUGCCAGCCGCCGCGGUAACAC